GUCCGUGCGAAGUCGCAAGACGAUGUAUACGGACUGACGCCUGCCCGGUGCUGGAAGGUUAAGAGGACCUGUUAACCCUUUUAGGGUGAAGCGGAGAAUUUAAGCCCCAGUAAACGGCGGUGGUAACUAUAACCAUCCUAAGGUAGCGAAAUUCCUUGUCGGGUAAGUUCCGACCUGCACGAAUGGCGUAACGACUUCUCAACUGUCUCA
rnacentral:rRNA from 1 species